rnacentral:rRNA from 1 species
AUUGAACGCUGGCGGCAGGCCUAACACAUGCAAGUCGAACGAGUGGCGGACGGGUGAGUAAUGUCUGGGAAACUGCCUGAUCGAGGGGGAUAACUACUGGAAACGGUAGCUAAUACCGCAUACCCUCAGAUGUGCCCCGAUGGGAUUAGCUAGUUGGUGGGGUAAAGGCCUAACAAGGCGACGAUCCUUAACUGGUCUGAGAGGAUGAUCAGGCACACUGGAACUGGGACACGGGCCAGACUCCUACGGGAGGAAGCAGGGGGGAAUAUUGCACAAUGGGCGAAAGCCUGAUCCAGCCAUGCCGCGUGUGUGAAGAAGGUCUUCGGGUUGUAAAGCACUUUAAGUUGGGAGGCGUUACCUGCAGAAUAAGCACCGGCUAACUUCGUGCCAGCCGCCGCGGUAAUAC